rnacentral:rRNA from 1 species
AGAACGAACGCUGGCGGCAUGCCUAAUACAUGCAAGUCGAACGAACUCUUCGGAGUUAGUGGCGCACGGGUGCGUAACGCGUGGGAAUCUGCCCUUGGGUUCGGAAUAACAGUUGGAAACGACUGCUAAUACCGGAUGAUGACGAAAGUCCAAAGAUUUAUCGCCCAGGGAUGAGCCCGCGUAGGAUUAGCUAGUUGGUGAGGUAAAGGCUCACCAAGGCGACGAUCCUUAGCUGGUCUGAGAGGAUGAUCAGCCACACUGGGACUGAGACACGGCCCAGACUCCGUACGGGAGGCAGCAGUAGGGAAUAUUGGACAAGUGGGACGAAAGCCUGAUCCAGCAAUGCCGCGUGAGUGAUGAAGGCCUUAGGGUUGUAAAGCUCGUUUUACCCGAGAUGAUAA